GUCUACACUGUAAUCAUGAAUGCUGUAAUUAAUGACAUUUAAUUUAAAUGUUUAGAUUUAAGCUAACGCUAUAAGCAUUCCGCCUGAGGAGUACGAUCGCAAGGUUGGAACUCAAAGGAAUUGACGGGGCCUAACACUAGUGGUGGGUAUGUGGUUUAAUGCGAUAAUCCGCGCAAAAUCUUACCAAUCUUUGACAUAAAAUUUAUCUUAUUUGUUAUAAAUAAAUAAUUUUAUACAGGUGUUGCACGACUGUCAU
rnacentral:rRNA from 1 species